rnacentral:rRNA from 1 species
AUUGAACGCUGGCGGAAUGCUUUACACAUGCAAGUCGAACGGCAGCACGGACUUCGGUCUGGUGGCGAGUGGCGAACGGGUGAGUAAUGUAUCGGAACGUGCCCAGUCGUGGGGGAUAACGUAGUGAAAAUUACGCUAAUACCGCAUACGAUCUAUGGAUGAAAGCGGGGGAUCGCAAGACCUCGCGCGAUUGGAGCGGACGAUAACAGAUUAGGUAGUUGGUGGGGUAAAGGCCCACCAAGCCAACGAUCUGUAGCUGGUCUGAGAGGACGACCAGCCACGCUGGAACUGAGACACGGUCCAGACUCCUACGGGAGGCAGCAGUGGGGAAUUUUGGACAAUGGGGGAAAGCCUGAUCCAGCCAUUCCGCGUGCAGGAUGAAGGCCCUCGGGUUGUAAACUGCUUUUGUACAGAACGAAAAGGUUUCUACUAAUACUAGGAGCUCAUGACGGUACUGUAAGAAUAAGCACCGGCUAACUACGUGCCAGCCGCCGCCGUAA